GAAGUAAAAGUCGUAACAAGGUCUCCGUUGGUGAACCAGCGGAGGGAUCAUUACCGAGUUUACAACUCCCAAACCCCUGUGAACAUACCUAUACGUUGCCUCGGCGGAUCAGCCCGCGCCCCGUAAAAAGGGACGGCCCGCCCGAGGACCCCUAAACUCUGUUUUUAGUGGAACUUCUGAGUAAAACAAACAAAUAAAUCAAAACUUUCAACAACGGAUCUCUUGGUUCUGGCAUCGAUGAAGAACGCAGCAAAAUGCGAUAAGUAAUGUGAAUUGCAGAAUUCAGUGAAUCAUCGAAUCUUUGAACGCACAUUGCGCCCGCCAGUAUUCUGGCGGGCAUGCCUGUUCGAGCGUCAUUUCAACCCUCAAGCUCAGCUUGGUGUUGGGACUCGCGGUAACCCGCGUUCCCCAAAUCGAUUGGCGGUCACGUCGAGCUUCCAUAGCGUAGUAAUCAUACACCUCGUUACUGGUAAUCGUCGCGGCCACGCCGUAAAACCCCAACUUCUGAAUGUUGACCUCGGAUCAGGUAGGAAUACCCGCUGAACUUAAGCA
rnacentral:rRNA from 1 species